GGGAGAACAGACUUGAGAUUUGCAUGGUUGAAAUAUCCGGCGAUAAUAAAAAGUCUAUCAGGGUGUGCAUUUUUCAGCUCGCUAAUAGGUCUGUAGAGCUCACACAGAACCUCCUGAAUAUGGUGGUAAAUUCACGUGGUAAAUAAAAUGGCCUGCAUCUGACAGUCACAAACUCCAUUAGCGAUCAACAGUAGUUAGAAACAAGCACAGAUUCCUUGCACCAUUCUGUGUUGAUGUAAAAACCAAUGGCGGCGUCCGGAACUCUGUCCGUAAAAACAAAGACGCAGCAGUCUCUGUACUCUGUAGUCCAGCUUAUUGCCCAGGGAGCAGACAUUUGAUAGAAGUAUAGAGGGGAGUGCCGGCUGGCUAGGGUUUGUUUUUAGCCUAGCACAGACACCUGCCCUCUUGCCGUGCUUCCGCUUUCUCACACACCACUUCCGUCGGGUCCUCUCCCGGCUACUGGCAUCGGGCGACACCAAGGGCUCUGGGUCUGGUCUCCGCAGCAAGCCGAGAUCGUGAAGCUUUUUUCAUAGAUCAUCAUGCACGUUGGCUGGUGCAUGAAUUCCAUAUCCUAGUAGUGUCUGGCGGUCGUACACAUGAACAUCGCUGUAUCUGGUAUCCAUAUGCUGUGGUAGUUGGGUUUAUUGCUGCUGUCGCUGUCACAUGUACUCAGGAGCUCAUACUAACUCCACAGAUUUACUGUCUUUAUUUUUGGCAGCAGAACAUUUUUGGCGGGUAAUAGCAGUGGCUCCUGAACAAAGAUCCUCCUGAGCACAGCUUCAACCAGAACAUGGUCCUGCUCAACCAGCAUCUACGCUCAUGAGCCGCAGCUGGUCCUGUCUAACUUCAAAGCAUACAGCUGUGGAAGAGGAAUGAUUUAGAAUCACACUAUCUGGCCUCACCCACAAGAGGAUGGAUUUCCUUUUGAGUCUGGUUCCUCUCGAGGUUUCUUCCUCAUGUACUCUCAGGGAGUUUUUCCUCGCCACUGUCACCUCUGGCUUGUUCAUUAGGGACCGAAAUUUACAAACUGCUGCCAAAAUGAAAGAAUAAAAUUGGAACAAAAAUAGGAUAAAGGGCUAAAACAACUCAAUUAAAAAAAACAGUUAAUAAAAAAUGUAAUUAAAUUUAGAUGGUGUGAUAAUUGAAUUAUAGAAACUGGAAAAUUUCAUUUGUCUUUUAUUUUUUUGGUCUUAAAUACCCUAUUUUUUUCUUUUCAAAAAAUGAUAUAACAAAAUAAAAGUAAGGAAAACCAUAUGUAACCCGGUGGGAGUUAUAAAGGUUAAAUUUCCUAGGGGUGUGUCCUUGCCUUAUUAUUUUCCCGGUCAUGCAAUGGGUAAAUUAUGUAUUUUCAUUGUAUGUGAUGAUCAAUGUUCUGUUUUACGUGCAAGUUAAAAUAAGUGUAAUAUAAUGAUGUUCAUGUGUAAAAAAUUUGUGAGCGUGUAUGAAAACUUUUCACAUGAUUAAUAUUGACCGGUAAGGAUCAGGGGAAAGGUAAAUGACAGAAUGUAAGACCAGAUGCACAAGGUGAACAUGCUGUUUUUUGGGUGUGAUUGGUUUUCCUUUAUUUUCCCUGCUUCUGCCAUUCGCGGAGGACAGAUAGGACAAAGUCUAAAAGGACUAUCGCGGAAAUUGAUACCUUUUAUGCAUGUUUUUUCUUUGUUAUCCCAGAGCUAACAGAGUUUUGUGUGCACAAGGACAGACAAUGUAAUGUGAGGACUAUUAUAGAGCAGACUAGUUUAAGAUCUGGUCCAUGGAACUGUAAGCGGAGUUAGCCACAAGCUAAUUUGCAUUGGAUUGUACUGGCGGUAUCACAUUCAAACAUUUCGGGAACAUUUCAUUGCUAGCUAAAUGUCAGGCUGGCCGAGAAGCUCCAGGGGCUGUUGCACCAAGGAGUGUGAUGUGCGAGUUUGCAGUAAAGAGACCAGAGUCUCCGAAGGAUAUUUUACGAGUUCAUCGAACUAACGUGAGUGAGCUAUUUGUUCUAAUUUUUUUUUUAUUUGCAUGACGCGGCCAUUUUAGGCCUCACCUCUCACGAGCUUCGUCUCUGGCCUGCAGCAUAUAUGAUAAUUUGUGUUUUCUGAUAGACUUGAGUGCUGGCUUAGUUUAAAUUUCAAAGAAAGGCCCUAUAGAUAGGUUAGUGUGUACAGAAAACACUGGGAUCCAUGUAUGUUUUGGUUUAGGCAUGAAUAAUUCACUGUGUUUGUGUUUAACCAUUUGACAGGUACUGUGUGCAACGUUGUUGUUUGGUUUUUUUUUGGCACAAAAAACAAUAUUAUGUUUAAGUAUUUAUGUUAUCCUCACUGAAUUCAUCCCUUUAUUGAUAUUUCAAGUGUUAUACGGUGUGUAGUACUUCAUUUAGAGUCAAUGAUUUCAGUGUUGUCACUGAGCAGUAAUAGAACUGUAGAUACUAAAGUACAUAUUAUAAUAUACCAGUGAAAACAAGUUGAGAGUUCAAGGGCUCAUAAUUAUGAAUUCACUUUGGUAGUUAGCUAUAGAUAAUUCAUUAAGGGAACAUACGGUUGACCUUUGGUUGAAGACUGUAGGUUUGGAAACCGGGUAAGAGGACCCAGGACGCCCCCUGUAGUGUUGGGUAAAGGGCAAAAGGGGCGUUACAUAAAUGGAGGCACAGCUGGGAUAAUUUUCUUUAAAUGUUUUGCUAAGUGCUAUUUACAGAGCUUACUUUAAACUCAUUCAAAUAUGGCUAGCCUCAACUUGUUUGUUGAAGAACUUCAGGUAGGAAAUACCACACAGCCAAAAACAAAUGGAUGGUGCUAUGUGAAUGUAGAGAGUCAGUGAAUUCACCAAUCAUUCCCCCUGAUGUCAUGCCCUCUGGUAAGCCUGGGCCUUGGCUGCUCAUCACACUGUAUAAGACCGUGCCCGAGUCUAGUGAGUUUUGUGCUCGGUUGUGUGACUUCUUGCUAGCUGAACAAAAGACUAUGGAUGAUCUAAAACAUUGGUAGGGGCCCGUGGUUCUUCAACAGAGUCAAUCAUUCACGCAAUGGGUGACGUAUUAGAGAAAACUGUGUGGUCACCUGGUGGGAACAAUGGGUAUAGACGCUUGCAUGCAUUUUCUGGUAUUUUGCCUACACCUUCAGGCGAAGAACCAUUUGAACACUGGAUCAAACAGUUUAAGCUGAUCAUUGAGGAGAGUGACUUGUCUGACAAGGAGAAAAGAUGAAGGAUUAUGGAAAACCUCAAAGGUCCUGCACUAGAGACUGUAAAAGUGGCUCAUACUGCUAAUGGUGAUGUCAGUCCCAACAAAUAUCUAAAAGCUUUAGAAAAUGCUUUUGGAACUGCCAGAUCUGGUGAGAUCUUCCUUUCAUCUUAUGCAGCAAAAGUCGGGAGAGAAACUGUCUGACUUUUUAAGAAGGUUAGAGCAGUUACUGUCUAAGUUUGUACAAAGGGUUGGUAUUGCAGAGUAUGAAGCAACUAGGGUCAGUCUAGAACAACUGAUUCGAGGUGCUGUGGCAUCAGACAUAAUGUUGAUCCAGCUCAGGUUGAGAGAAAAGAGAUCUAACCCCCCUAACUUUUUAGAUUUGCUGACUGAGAUCCGUAUUGAAGAGGAAUAUGAAACCUCCCGGGUGAAACUGAGAGCAUCAGUACGAAAUGUCAGUACUGACCCAGACAUGACAGUACUGAUAGUCAGAACAAAGACAUUCAUGCCCUGAAAAAGGAAAUAAAGGAACUGAAGUCAGUGGUAGCUGCACCAUUGAUGCCACAGUACCAAAGGGUAAGGUUCUGAUGCCUGAACCUGACAAUACAGAACUGGAUUUGUUAAAGAAACAAAUGAAAAGUCUUUAACAGAAGCUGAUGGUGCAAAACAACCACACCUCUAAUCACCCAGCUAUUGCACUGCCAGUUGAUAUUUAAAUUUUUUCAAUUUUCAGUUUCAAUUUUAUUUGUGCUUUUAACAAAGAGCAUUGUCUCAAAGCAGCUUUACAUAAGAAACAACAUAAGAAACAACAAACAGACAAACAGUCCUAGAUGUUAUCCCAAGUGAGCAAGCCUGAGGUGACUGAGGCGACUGUGGCAAGGAAAAACUCCCUUAGAUGGUAUGAGGAAGAAACCUUGAGAGGAACCAGACUCAAAAGGGAACCCAUCCUCAUUUGGGUGACACCGGAGAGUGUGAUAUGAAAAAUGUCUUUUGUGCAUUUAUGUAUAGUCAAUUGUGUGAUGCCAAUACAGCAUGUGUAGAAUGUUGUGUAAAUUAAUAAGGAGGUUGUUGUCAUCCACAUAGGGUUGGCAGUGUUGCUUUGAAUACCCCAGUCCUCACAAAGCAGAACCCGGCUGGAGCUGGUCCAUCUCUGGAUGUCACUGGAGCCGGCACAGUCUCUCUAUGCCUCGGGAUGGGUAGAAGAAGGGAAACAAGUGGAAAGUAAUUAGUGGAGCUACUGUUCAUAAUAUUAGCAGCACUAGAUGAUAAUGUGCAUUUAAUCAGAUGUACUGGAGUACAAGGUUAUCGGAUGUAUUAAAUGUAUGCCUGGCUAAAGAGAUAUGUAUUUAGUCUACAUUUGAACUGGGAGACUGUGUCUGAGCCCGAACACUGUCAGGAAGACUAUUCCAAAGUUUAGGAACUAAGUACGAAAACGCUCUACCUCCUUUUGUAGACUUUGAUAUUCUGGGAACUACAAGAAGUCCAGAGUUUUGUGAUCUUAAAGAGGUGGAUUAUAAUAUGUUAGAAGACUGGCUAGAUAGGUCGGAGCUAAACCAUUUAGAGCCUUGAACGUAAGUAGUGAUAGUUUAUAGUCAACUCUAAACAUAACAGAUAUGUCUAGGGAUAUUGCCCGAAGAGGGCAUGACUACAUGGAAACAAAAAUUUGUUAUAGAUGUGGUGAAAAUGGACAUUUUGCAGCUCCCUUCAGGAAUACCAGACUAAAGUGAUCCAGAGACUUAUUAGCUCCCUAAAGAGAAGGGAUCCAGCAGAAAAGCCAGAAAAUGACAGGGAUAAUAGCCAGGGAUAAUAGUGGUGUGUGCUCUUCAAAGAGAAGUGCAGUGAAAACAUCCACUGCUACUGGUUUGGCCAGGGGACUCACUGGCCGUACAUCACUGGUUUCUGUAGAUAAAUAGACAUUUGUAUAAUGCACUUCUGGCAGGGGUUCUAAAGUGACUAUUAUCUUUGAAGACUGGUAUAAACUGCAUUUGAGUGAUGUCCCAAUUCAACCUGUGUCAGGGUUGGCAAUAUGGGCUUAAGUGAUUCUAGAUACCCAUACAGAGACUGUGUGGUAGUGACUAUGGAAUUCCCAGCAGAUGUGACUGGGGUUCCUGAAACCAUCUCAGUAUUGGUUUUAAUCUGUCCUGGUCCUAAGAAUCCAGACCAGACACUGGUGAUUUUGGGGACUAAUGCAAGUUUGUUCAAGCUAUUAGCUUCACUGUAUGGAAAGUGAUGGAUCAGUUACACCCAGUAGACCCGAUCAGUUCUGUCCCAGAAGGGUGAAAGGACCCUAAGAAAGUACAUAUCAGUCUUUUAAACUUUGGCGACUCACUGGUUCCGGAGAUUGUGGCUAAAGUUGUCAGAAAGAGUUGAGGUUUUUUCAUUUUAUGAAAUUUGUUUUACCGACCCCAGACCCUUUCAUGAGUGUUCCCAAUGCAUAGCCCCAUCUGAUAUUGAUGAUGUCAGACAACACAUUCAAAAGCUGUUGUCAGCAGGAAUUGUGAAAGAAUCAGGAAGUCGUUAUGCAACACCAAUCGUGAUAGCCCGAAAAAUGAAUGAAAGUGUAAGAAUGUGUGUUCAUUACUGCAUGCUCAAUCAGAGAACAGUGCCAGAUCAGUACACCACUCCACAUAUUGAUGACACUUUGGACUGUUUGUCGGGUAGCAAAUGGUUUUCUGUGCUUGAUCUGAGAAGUGGCUAUUAUCAGAUAGCUAUGGCAGAUGAAGAUAAAGAGAAAACCGCCUUUAUCUGUCCAUUAGGCUUCUACCAAUUUAAGAGAAUGCCACAGGGCAUUACAGGGGCCCCCGCCACUUUCCAGCAGUUAAUGGAAAAGACCAUGGGUGAUAUGAACUUACUUCAAGUCAUGGUGUAUUUGGACAAUUUGAUUGUUUUUGGCAAGACAUUGGAAGAGCACAAAGAAUGUCUUCUCUGUGUUCUUGACUGGCUGGUUGAAGCUGGAGUAAAGAUCUCGCUAGAUAAGUGCCAAUUCUGCCAAACACAGGUGUCCUACCUUAGGCAUAUUGUCUCAGCAGAUGGAGUACCACUGAGCCAUUUGGUAAGAGGUGGGAUAAGUCUUGUUCAGAUGCUUUACAUAAGAUCAUCCACUGCCUCACCAAUGCUCCUGUUUUAGCUUUUGCCAAUCCCCAUAAGCCCCAUAUGUAGAUGCAAGUUUCAAGGGGCUUGGUGCGUUAUUGUAUCAGACCUGUAGCCUUUGCCAGUAGGAAACUUUACUCUUCUGAGCAGAACUACCCAAUCCAUCAGUUAGAAUUUUUGGCUUUAAAAUGGGCAGUUGUGGACAAAUUCUAUGACUAUCUAUAUGGAGCCAGGUGGCUUGGAUCUCUAGCAACUUAUUACUUUAAUAUCCAGUACCUUCCUGGUAGGACAAAUGUUGAUGCUGACAUGCUCUCACGAAACCAAUCAGAAGGCAAUCAUUUAGCGUAUGGGAGGAUAUCCCUCUUCCUGGAGUGAAAGCCGUAUGCCAACGUGUUGACAUUGAACCUGUAGAUGUGUCCCUGUGGUAUGCUGUUAAGUUGGAUGCACAUCCAGAUUAUGUACCAGACACUUAUGCCUGUCCAGUGCAUUUGAGUAAGGGAGACUUGGAGCCACUGACCAGGAAUGUUUUGGGGAAAGCCCAGAAGGAGGAUAUCUGGAUUGGCCCAGUCAUUAAGGCUAUUAGACAGGGCAAAUGGCCCAACGGCAAUGACCUGCCACCUGAAAUAGAGCUCAUCAGGAGAGAACAGACAAAACUGAUGUUCAAAGAAGAAUUGUUGUACAGGGUAGUCAAGAAGCCCUCUGGAACAAGCGUCACGCAACUGAUUCUGCCAUCUAAAUAUGUGCCUGUUGUAUUAAAGUCCAUGCAUGAUGAUAUGGGACAUUCAGGAAUAGAGCUUGACUGAGCUGUUGAGUGAUCACUUUUACUGGCCCAAGAUAUCCAGUAAGAUUGAGACCAGAGUCCAGCUCAGAGAGCUCCGUUGCAUCGGAUAACUAGCAGGGGCCCAUGGAUCUGGUGUGUAUUGACUUUUUGUCAGUUGAGUCAGAUACAAGAGGGAUGAAAAGCCUACUAGUGGUAGCAGAUCAUUUGACCAGAUAUGCACAAGCCUUCCCAACAAAGAAUCAGAAAGCUCUUACAGUUGCUAAAAUCCUAGUAGAAAAGUUCUUUGUGCACUAUGGGCUACCAGCAAGAAUCCACUUGGACCAGGGCUGUGACUUCGAAAGUCAAUUGAUUAGAGAGAUGCUGAAGAUUCUCCCUAUUAUCUCAUGUUUGGAAGGGAGGCCCGUCUCCCAAUUGACCUCUGUUUAGGGGUAUUAGCUGAUAAUGAUUCAGUUUCUCAUUUUCAGUAUGUAGCAAAGUUCGCUGAAGAUUUGAAAAGUACAUAUUGUUUGGAUUCAGAGACGGCCGAUAAAGCACAUCAGCGGAACAAGAGGUGCCAUGGCAAAAGAAUAAGUUUCCAAGUGCUAAAUUUGGGGGGCAGAGUGUUAAUCAAGAACUUUGUUCUGAAAGGGAAACAUAAACUUCAGAGCAGGUGGAGCCCGACUCCUUAUGUCAUUGUUGAGAAAAUGCCUAAUCUACCAGUCUAUCAUGUUAAACCAGAGGGGGCUAGAGGGUGAGUAAAGACCCUUCACCAGGAACAUCUCUUACCCAUAGGGCAGUUUGUUAGAAUGUCAGGCUUGUAGUCAGAUGAUGAGCCACCUCCAGCACCCAAGAGACAACUAAGGGCAAAAACAGAGCAGGUCAAAGAACCAGAAUUCACAAGUGAGCCAUCAAAUGAGUCAUCUAUAGAGUUGGAAAGGGGUAAGACCCAUCAAUCCUACAGAACUGAGAUGAAUGAACUGUUGAAGAGACACCCUCCCCGAGUACCCAGAACACCUUCUGUAUCUGACUGUGUGGCAGAAGUUCGGUCAGUCAGUGAAGUUGUUUCAGAGAGAAAUGAUGGUGAGGAUAAUGUAGCUUCUGAGGCAGAUUUCACAGUUGAUUCUGCUGUUAGUUCAGCUUCUAGGGUUAGUGAGACAGAUGAGCAGAAUGAAGAAUGCCUAGAGCUUGAUAGGGAGAAUCCCAUUAAACUUAUCUAUGACAAACAAGGUAAAGCAAAGGAUCAACUAUUAACCACAGUUCAUCAAUGAGCAGUAAUUAAGAUUGGAUAUAAUUAGGGCUGGUUAGAAUAAUGGCAAGGUUUCUCUGUUUUAUUUGGUUGAAAAAAAAGAGAGUGACAACCCUAAGCAACAUGGUGAAGCCACAUCCGGGAGAAUGAACGCUGGCACGUAAUGCUGCCGCUGCUUUCUGCGGGUUAUUGUUACUAUUGUUACUAUUUUCUAAGUAGUAUAGAUUGCAUUUUAAUAUCAUUAAAGUUUGGAUGAAUCAAUACAUAGUUUAACAACCACUGGACUAUUUUAACCUCAUAACAACAAACUGACGAUUUUAAGCCACUCGGUGGGUCUACCUGGACUCUGGCGUACCUGGCUCAGUGGUUUUGGCACCUGGGACUCGGCCUGGGAUUUCUCCUUCAUUCGCCACAACAAUGCUGGACGCUUACAAACUCUUAAUCUGGAUUCUACUUCUUCUCAUCUGUCACCCGGUUGCAUCUAUCCUCCAAUAUACAGCAACUGAGCUGCUCACCCUGUGCCUUCAUGCCAUGGGACCCCCACCAACGCUUCAGUGUCAUCAGGACAUCAUCUUUUACCCCCGCCAGAGAUACCGUAUCUCCACCGGUCUUCCCGACAGAAUUACAUCUAUGAUGAUUCGGGUCCAAUACGCUCCUUCUGGUCAUCAGGAUUUCGUCAGAUUAGGAAAUCGAGACGACCCGUUGACCAGACUGUGCUGGCUAACUUAGCUAGGUCGAGUAUCACCCCCAAAACGGGUAGGAGUGAUCUCUCUUUUGGCCUAUUUAAUAUUCGUUUGCUAACAAACAAAGGGCCAUUUAUUUAUGACUUAUUGAGCGACAAGAAGUUUGAUUUCUUAUGUUUAACGGAGACUUGGCAACAACAAAAUGACUUCUCUCAGCUGAAUCAGUCAGUUCCUCCCGGGUUUGUUUACUCCUGUCAGCCCCACCCCUCUGGGCGUGGUGGAGGGCUUGCUAUUCUCUACAAUGAGAAGUGGAAAGUCUCUUCAGUUAACUCGGAUUCCUUUGAAACUAUUGAGUCCAUGGUCUUGCAGAUAAAUGGACCUUGCCGUGUUAUUUUAGCUACUGUUUAUCGCCCACCGAAAGGAAGCAGUACAACUUUUUUAGCCGAGCUAUCCAUGUUUUUAACUUCACUGUGCUCCAUAUCUCCUAAUGUUAUUUGACUGGGAGACUUAAAUAUACACGUGGACAACUAUAAUGACACUCUCACCAAGGAGUUUAUAUCAUGUCUUGACAGCUUUGGAAUUCAACAGUUUGUUGAUUUUCCCACCCAUUGUAAAGGCCACAUCCUCGAUAAUAUUUGCUGCUCUGGUUUAACUUCCAUUAAUCUCAGUGCACCUGACCUUCCCAUCUCUGACCAUAAGCUAAUAUCAUUCGGUGUUAACUUAAUGGUUGAAAAAUUAACCACAGGCCGGACUAUUUCAUUUAGGAACAUUAAAAACAUGGACUUAACCUUACUUUCUAAUAGUAUUUAUAAUUAUUUCACAAACUACACCCCAGACAGCUCGGAUGAUCUGGUUUCCUACUAUAACAAUGGACUCUGCCAUGUACUUGAUACACUCACACCUAUAAAAACUUGGACUGUCUUCUUCACUCACUCUACACUCUGGUUCACUUCAGAGCUGAGACUGCUCAAAACCCAAGGACGUCAGCUUGAACGGCUAUUCCGCAAAACUGGUUUAACUGUUCACAAGAAGAUGUAGCUGGACCAUAUGUCACUGUAUAAGGACACACUCACAACAACUAAAACUGACUAUUACUCUGCAUUGAUUAGGUCAAACGAGGGCAACACUAAAUCAUUAUUCAAUUUGGCUAAUAAUGUUUUAAAACUUUGCAAUAUUAUUUUAGAUCACACAUUUUCAAAUGAUACAUGUGACAAUUUCAUGAACUAUUUUAAUGUUAAAAUUGAUCAGAUUCACCAACACUUGAUUACCCAGAAUAGCUUAGGAUGUGAUAUACCAUCUGUGAUAUCUCGUGACUCUCUUUCUUCCUCUUUCUGCUGCUUUGAGCUUCCUUCUGUCAAUGAAAUCUUUGAUAUCAUUCGCCAUUCCAAAUCUUCCACCUGCCACCUAGAUCCACUCCCCACCUUCCUGGUCAAAGCUUGUCCUAUCUAUCUACCUGUACUAUCUAAUUUAAUAACAGAUAUCAUGCACUCCUCCCUUACCUCAGGCACUGUUCUGUUACCUUUUAAAGCAGCUGUAAUAACUCCUAGGCUUAAAAAACCUGGCACAGACCCCAAAAACCCUGCCAACUUCCGUCCAAUCUCUAACCUGUCAACUCCACACUUACCUCUCUUUUUGAAGAGUUUCAGUCAGGUUUUCGCCCACCGCACAGUACAGAAACAGCUCUAGUAAAUUAAUUUACUAGAAAAAAAAAAUUAAUAGCAGCUGACCCCUAUCAGCUGUCUUUUAUCUAUACUCAUCCUACUCGAUCUCAGUGCAGCUUUCGAUACCAUCUCACACAAAAUUCUCUUAGACAGACUAAACCAAAUUGGCAUUUCAGACACCCCUCUUGCUUAGUUCACAUCCUGUCUCUCAGAACGAGGCCAAUUUGUCCAGCUAAAAAAUUUUAAAUCUUUCUCAUCUCCUGUCACCACUGCUGUCCCCCAAGGAUCUGUUUUGGGCCCUAUCCUCCUCACUAUUUACCUUCUUCCACUAGGGCACAUCUUUAGGAAAUAUGGCAUCAGUUUUCACUGCUACGCGGACGACACCCAGCUCUACCUGUCCUCCAAACCAAAUGGUCUCCUGCGCUCCUCCUCACUACAAAACUGUUUAGAAGAAAUCAAAGUCUGGCUAUCAAUCAACUUCCUUCAACUUAAUUCAGGAAAAACAGAAAUCCUUUUAGUUGGUACAAAGACCAACCUAACAAUAAAAAUAGGCAACUCUAUCAUAACCCCAUCUCACCAGGUUAAGAGUCUGGGUGUCAUCCUCGACAGUACUUUGUCAUUUAAAGCUCAUAUUAAUAUCGUUACCCGGUCUGCAUACUUUCAUCUGCGCAAUAUUAAUCGCCUUCGCCCCUUUCUCACCCCCAUCACUACAGCCACACUUGUACACACUCUUGUCACCUCACGAAUAGACUACUGUAAUUCCCUCUUAUUUGGUUUACCUUCUAAACUCCUUCAUAAACUUCAGUUGGUCCAAAACACAGCUGCCUGCAUCAUCACAAAAACUCCCUCCAUCAACCAUAUCUCUCCUAUACUUUUUCAAUUACACUGGCUCCCCGUUAAAUUCCGCAUUGAUUACAAGAUUCUCCUUCUCAACUUCAAAGUAUUACAUAACCUUGCCCCCUCAUACCUCUCAGAGCUGGUCCACGUGUACACCCCUGCUCGGUCACUCAGAUCUUCUUCAUCCUACUCACUUGCCAUUCCCUCUGUCCGCUUACGCACAAUGGGUUCCAGGUCUUUCAGCUGGGCUGCACCACACCUCUGGAAUUCCCUUCCACCGUCCAUCCGCGACAUCACCUCUCCUACGUCUUUUAAAUCUAAUCUUAAAACCUAUCUCUUUAGGAAAGCCUUCUCAGACUUCUGUUAACUGCCUUUUUGUCUUUUUGUUUUUAUUUAGAUUUUGCAUGUGUACUGUUUUCAUUUUAUCUUUGAUCCUAUUUGAUGUAAGGUGACCUUGAGUCUCAGGAAAGGCGCCUCAAAUAAAAUGUAUUAUUAUUAUUAUUAUGAGGAUCUGAUGAGGACAUCAGGGCCCAUAUUCACAAAGCUUAUUAGAAUUCUCUCAGAGAGCUCCUGUCUUAGCCUAAAAAGUCCUAGCUGGGAGUCCUAGACUAAAAGUGAUUUAGGAAAAUUCUCACAGCAACUCUGAGUAAGGAAAGUACAAAAAUCUUUAUCUUAGUGAGGAGGUGUGGUUGACCCCAUUGCUAGGGAUGAUGCAGCAAUUCAAGGACUGUGGUUGAUUAAAAAAUCUGUAAUCUGUAAAUCUGUCUCUUUGUGAAAAGAGAAUAUAUAAUAAUAGAAUGGACAGUAAAAUCAUAAUGUUUGUAUAUAAAGAAAUUGUAUAAUCAUGAAUACAGACUACUUUAUGUAAAGUUUCUGUUAUAGGCUAAAUAUCUUAAAGUCAGGGGCGUAAUUUCCACUGGGGACAGGGGGGACAGGGGGGACAUGCCCCCCCACACACACACACUUUUUACAUUUGUUUGUUAUGAUUUUUUCAUUUAAAUUCUCUCACUGAAAGGUGUAAUGAACAGGUUUCAGGUUUCACGGUUGCGGGACAGUCAGUGAUGAAACACCAGAAGCAGCAACAGAUGACUUUAAUGUCAUCAUGGAUGAAAAGAAAGAAUGGAGAUGCGAGUUUGUUGAUUCAGUAAAUUAUCUCAGGUCAGGAUAAUCAUAUUGACGAGUUGACUUUAAACCACACAUUUUCUCUCAGCAAUGUAUGACAAGCAGACUCUGGAUAGUUUAAUGUUAGACUCAAUAUGAUCAUAACUCAGUGGUUUUCAUAUCAGAGGACAGAUGAGGUGGACAGUUAGGAUACAUGGGGAGAUGGGAUUGAAUGGAUAGAUAGAGGAUAAUGUUCUUUAUAUUUUUUUUAUGUUUGUGAGAUUGUGUGCCUCUUGAGAUCUUGCAUCCUGUGUACCAAAUAAGUAGUGUAUCUAUUGUUUUAUUAAUUUUCCCAUCCUUUUGGAUUACAGAAGUAAGGAUUACAGAUGGUUAUUCCUAUCCUGCUAUAAUACAGUGUUGGAGGAAUAAAAAUGAUCUAUUUUAGGUAUUUGUGCUGCACAGAAAAUUAGCACCAGGAAUGUAAAUAUUUUAAUUUAUUCAUUAACUAAGAGUGGCUGUUUAUGCAUGAGAGACAAUUAUUAAAGUAAUAAUCAACAUUUUCAUAUAAUUGUUAUAAAAAUGAUAUAUUACAUAAUAAUUUUGCGAAAAUAGUGCUGUAACACACACACACAGUUCAUAAAAGCAGUUGUCAGUAAGCAAAUGGAAAUGUAAAAAAAUACCCUUGAGACAAAACAUGUAAGGCCAUGAGUUCUUUAGUUCAGACAGUGACGGAGGUGGAUUGGCCUUUAUAUCACGGCAUUGACGGUAAUAUUUGACCUCCAUCAACUUGUGAAGUUCUCCUCUAGUGGCACCAGACAGUCCUUCAGUAGAAUGAAGCAAUACCAUUUGCUUGCGCUUCCCUUCUAGAGUGUCAUUUUCUCCUGCAGGAAGCUCCUCUGGUUGCCAUCUGACACAACCAUACUGAUCAGCCGGCCUUCUUGAGCUCUGACUAAUGGUUCUGCAUGAUGACUGUAGUCGUUCUUUUCUCUGAAGACCUAAUGUGUUGUUUCUGUUUACAUGUUCAACACGGGUUUUAAGAGCAAAGAGGCAUACCCACUACCUAUUUUUGUUCCAUCAGCUAGAACAUCAGCAAAGCUCUCCGGGUACUGUUUAACAGUGUUGUGCAUUAAAAUCUGACACUGUGCCUUUGACGGGCUGACUUCAUGUUUUCACAUAUUAUCAACUAAAAUCAUUACUAGCUGCCUUCGAUCAGCUGGUGAUGGUCUUUUUUUAUUUGCGAUGGCCAAUUUGAUCCCAGAAGGCAUGGCUUCCCAAGGCACCUUAAAUGUGUCAAGCCCAUGCACAAGAUGCUGAAGAGCAAGCAAAAGAACAAGAUGGUGUAGAACUGGAAGAACUCUCCAAUUCUGGGCUUGAUGUAUCAGAAAGAUCUUGAUGUGAUGAGCAUUGGGAAAUCGGGCAGCUGACUUGUUCUAACACAAAUAACCAAUAUAUUAAAAAACGUGUUGAACAUGGAACAUUUAACAAUAUUUUACAAAUGUACAUUAGUAACAAAUAGUAUUAAGUGUUCUGUCUACUUGAAAAAUUAAAUUAAAAUACCUUCAUUUUUCCACACAUUUAGUAGUUUGUAACAUUGGACAGGCCUGAGGUAUUCCAUGAGGUCAUCUUUUACAUAGUGGAGGUCAGCUUUUGUUUCAACACCAAUAGCAGUAAGCCUAUGGAUCAGUUUUUGAAGGGUUUCAUCAGAGAGAUCAGGUAAAGAAGAGCAGAUGGUGAGUUUUAUCUCCUCUAAACUGGACAUACCUUAAAAAGAUGGAAAAGAAUGGUGUAACACAAUCAUAGACAAGCCACAUGUUUUGUACUCCUGGAGAGGGUAAUAAUCUAAUAGCUCCUCUUGAAGUACACAGACAUAUCUUGGGUCCUCAUCUGCUAUGCAGUAUACACCCAAAUCCACCAACUGCACAGCAAACCGUUUCUCAGACACCAAGUAGACCACUGAAUUCUGGUGAACAAGUAGUUUAGUUUAAUUAGUUUAAUUCUGCCAACCUCCAAACCCUCAUCAUUACUGGCCAAAAGCACAACCAUGCCUUUCCUGUACUUUGUUCCUUUCAAAGUGAUUUCAGUGGCUACUAAUGUAUUGCCUGACUGAAAAUCUAAAUGAUCAAUUGAUUCCCUGAUUGCUUCAUUAUAAUCAUCUGAAUAAAAUUCAGAUCCUCUCUCAACUUGCACAGAAAGCUGGAACAGUUUUCCAGCACUUAAGUAGGCUUGGAGAAGCUGGUGCCUUUCUGCAAGUGUUGCACAUAAGUUUUUGAAGUUGUGCAAUUUUCUAGCAUAUUGCUUGAAGUAGGUAUGCUUGCUCUCAAACCUCAUAGUCCAUAAGCAAAUGAGUGGUCCAAAUUGUUGCACAAUAAUUGCACAAGUAAUGAUGUUUAGGCUUGAGAGGCUUAGAAGGGAAAGUCACACACCUGAAAUGAAUGUACUCCUCAAUGAGCACUUUCAAAUAAGUGACCUGAUCUGCCAUUAUUGCUGGUGCACAAAUUAGGUCCACAACUUGUCAGAGAAGUAGAACAAGCUGCCACACUUCUGAUUCUGGAUCCUUAAUCCGGUGUCCAACAAUAACUGGUAAAAUUCUUAGAAGAUACCAGUUUUGCACAGCGUGACCACAAAGUCUCUCACUCCCUGGGUAAAUCUCAGCUGGUUUAUUGGCAGCAUCAUUUCCUGUGUACUCAAACUGCUUAAUAUAACGAUUAAGCUCUGAAAGUAAAGCAUUUUUCUUGAUUUACCAAGUUAUCUAUGUACAGCUUAAGAUCAGAUGCCACAACCCCCUCAAAGAGGUCAUGGCCAAGGCAAGGGGGCAAGCCUGGCUGACAAACAUGAAAAGAAUUCAGCUGAUUGAAAGGAGAGUUAAAUUUGAUUCCAUCAACUACAUUAUCACCACUGGCUGCAAGUUCCUGAAUGUUUCUCUCAUAAGACUCCACUGUUCACUUCAUAGCAGGUUUCAAAGGUGUGGCAUGAAAUGUGUCUCUGUCAGUGGUGCAAUACCUGCAGAAAUGUAGGCUACGGCUAAAGUUCUCAACAAAACCACCAGUGGUGUGGGAUCCCAGGUUGUCACCUACAAUGGAACACAAAGAAGCUUUCAAAGUUUUGCCAUCAUUCACAAUGACACCAUUCUCUUCAAGAUCUUUGAGAUCUUCAAUUAGUGAUCUAAUUAGUUUGACCUGUUAUGAGGAAAAAUAUCAGACAAGGUAAGAUAAACUGCCAGCAAUUUGUGUUUCUUUCUGGCUGGGCCCAAAGGUGUCACAUAACGGGGGUUACUGUAGCAUACGGGGGGGGGGUGGUUAAUGUAUUAGUUACUGUAGUUAACUAAUAGCUUGGCAGUCAAGUGAACCACUAAUGUUACUGAUUCGCAUAAAACACAAUUUAAUUUUACUAAUUUAAUUGCAAUGUUUAAAAGUUUAACUUACAUAACUACUACCAACAAUCCAAAACAAUUUUAUACCAAACGGUUAUCGAAAAUGUAAUGGUAAUAUGACAGACCAGUCACACUUUCAUAUUGAAGAAAAUAUGAGGUUAGUUACCAAGCUAAUGUUAAUCGUAACUUUGGACUCAACAAGCAAAUUCCGUAGCAUAAAUUUGAACAGAUUUUCAUCCCUUUUGAAACGUCACAAAAUAAAUAUAACAGUGAUAUAUCUUAAUGGCUGGUAAAAGAAUUAUUGGACACCAGGAUUUCACGUUUUAACUGAAGCAUGAAUUACUGGCUGCACUCACCUCCCCUCACUCUCACUCAUUGUGGUCCUCCUCUCACGCCUCAUGUGAGUUGAGCGCGAAAAUUGAAGAGUGCGAGAAGUCCCAAAAUGUCCGCUUCUGAUGACGAAAUGAUGUCACAUGCACUGUGCUACGUUGUUGUGUAGGAAUUGUUUUUUAAAGAAAACAAUUAAACAUGAAAACUAAUAGAUGUGUACAUUAUAUAAUAAUGUCGAAGUCAACAUGGUUUAAAUAAUUCGUUAAAAAGGAUGUAUUGAUUACAGCUGACUGAGUACCAAAAUUGGAUUUCAAAUUGGACUUGUGCAACAUUAUUUUUUCUUCUUUGUAAAAUAAAUAAAAAUAUAACAAUUGUAUACAUAAUGUCCUGUAGCAUUUACUGCAAUAAUUUUUCCAGAAUCCAGAGGAAAAUGCAAUAACAUUACAUUUACAUAAUCUACAUUUAAAAACAUGCACAGUAUCUUAUUGUACUGUAAAAUUUACAGCAAUUAUUUAGCAUGUUCCCACAAUUCAUAGCAAAAUACAGCAAUACUGUAAAUUUCAAAAUACAGUAGUCUACUGUAAAUAUUUACUGUAAAAAUUACAGCAAUUUUUUACAGUGUACUUUUAGCUGAGUUAGUUGAAGAAAAUAAAGCAAUUUUAAAAGGUAAAUUUGGCUCUGGUGUCAUAGCUCUAGGAAAGAGGCAGACCUGGGAGAAAAUAUCUCAGUAGAUAAACUCCUCAUUCCCUCUGGUUGUGCGCACCAGCGAGGAAUGUGAAAAGCGGUGGUGUUGCAGUCUCAAACAAGGAGGGAGAUCGCAGCACACAAACAGGAUUCUGCAAGCACAGGUGGUGGACCACCCACUAAACAACUGCCUCAGGAAGCAGAAACUGUAUUCAAUGUACUUGGGCUGAGGAAAUAUCUGUCACUGGGCUGAAGGAAGGCACAGACAGCUCAAUGAUCCUGCUAAUGGGAAUACAACAAAGUUUCUGCAGCAUGGAGCCGUCAGAGGAACCGGGACCGUCAAUGUCGCAGGUGUGCGACCCUCAGCCUCAGCCAGUGUAUCAGAUAAGCCUUCCUGCUGCAGCCACCCCAACACCUGUUGCUGAUACUCUGCUUGCCCCAUGUUUUUCUCUGUAUUUGGAUUAUUGGACUUUAUUCAGUUGCUGACUCUGCCUGCCCCGUGUUUUCCUGUUCUCUGGAUUUGGAUUAUUGGACUUUAUUCUGUUACUGACUCUGCCUGCCCCGUGUUUUCACGUUCUCUGGAUUUGGAUUAUUGCUCUGUGUGCUGUUGCUGACUCUGCCUGCAUUGUAUUUAACCUGCUCACCAUUUUGGAUUAUUGGACUGUUUUUCUGUUGCUGAUUCAGCCAGCCUGCUUAACCCUGGUUGUCAGUUGUUCUUUGGGUGUUGUCUGAGAACUCUGCCAUUUUCAGUGCCUUCCUUUAUUAAAGACUCUUAUAUUGAACUUUGACUGUGUUCUGCAUUUGGGUCCUCACCUGCCUUCCCUGACAUUUAUAACAGCAGUU